GAUGAACGCUGGCGGCGUGCCUAAUACAUGCAAGUCGAGCGAACGGACGAGAAGCUUGCUUCUCUGAUGUUAGCGGCGGACGGGUGAGUAACACGUGGAUAACCUACCUAUAAGACUGGGAUAACUUCGGGAAACCGGAGCUAAUACCGGAUGAUAUUUUGAACCGCAUGGUUCAAAAGUGAAAGACGGUCUUGCUGUCACUUAUAGAUGGAUCCGCGCUGCAUUAGCUAGUUGGUAAGGUAACGGCUUACCAAGGCAACGAUGCAUAGCCGACCUGAGAGGGUGAUCGGCCACACUGGAACUGAGACACGGUCCAGACUCCUACGGGAGGCAGCAGUAGGGAAUCUUCCACAAUGGGCGAAAGCCUGACGGAGCAACGCCGCGUGAGUGAUGAAGGCCUUCGGAUCGUAAAACUCUGUUAUUAGGGAAGAACAUAUGUGUAAGUAACUGUGCACAUCUUGACGGUACCUAAUCAGAAAGCCACGGCUAACUACGUG
rnacentral:rRNA from 1 species